AGAGUUUGAUCCUGGCUCAGAACGAACGCUGGCGGCGUGGAUAAGACAUGCAAGUCGAACGCGACUUAUUUUGUUAGCAAUAACGAAGUAAGUUGAGUGGCGAAAGGGUGCGUAACACGUGGGAAUUUACCAAAAAGUGGGGAAUAGCUUGGCGAAAGCCAAAUUAAUACCGCAUGUGAUCGAAAGAUCAAAGUCGGGGACCGCAAGGCCUGACGCUUUUUGAGAAGCCCGCGGCCCAUCAGCUAGUUGGUGAGGUAAAGGCUCACCAAGGCUAUGACGGGUAGCUGGUCUGAGAGGACGACCAGCCACACUGGAACUGAGACACGGUCCAGACACCUACGGGUGGCAGCAGUCGAGAAUUUUUCACAAUGGACGAAAGUCUGAUGGAGCGACGCCGCGUGGAGGAUGAAGGUUUUCGGAUUGUAAACUCCUGUCACUGCAGAACAAGGUAACGCAUGUUAAUAGCAAGCGUUAUUGAUAGUAUGCGGAGAGGAAGGGACGGCUAACUCUGUACCAGCAGCCGCGGUAAGACAGAGGUCCCGAGCGUUGUUCGGAUUCAUUGGGCGUAAAGGGUGUGUAGGAGGUCGGGUAAGUCAGGUGUGAAAUCUCAGAGCUUAACUCUGAAACUGCGCUUGAUACUGCUCGGCUAGAGGAUCGGAGGGGGUAUCGGAAUUUAUGGUGUAGCAGUGAAAUGCGUAGAUAUCAUAAGGAACACCGGUGGCGAAGGCGGAUACCUGGAAGAUUCCUGACUCUGAAACACGAAAGCCAGGGGAGCAAACGGGAUUAGAUACCCUAGUAGUCC
rnacentral:rRNA from 1 species